AUUGAACGCUGGCGGCAGGCCUAACACAUGCAAGUCGAACGAGUGGCGGACGGGUGCGUAAUGUCUGGGCAACUGCCCGAUGGAGGGGGAUAACUACUGGAAACGGUAGCUAAUACCGCAUACCAUCGGAUGUGCCCAGAUGGGAGUAGCUAGUAGGUGGGGUAAUGGCUCACCUGGGCGACGAUCCCUAGCUGGUCUGCGAGGAUGACCAGGCACUCUGGAACUGAGGCACGGUCCAGACUCCUACGGGAGGCAGCAUUGGGGAAUAUUGCCCAAGGGGCGCAAGCCUGGUGAAGCCAUGCGGCGUGUAUGAUGAAGGCCUGCAGGUUGUAAAGUACUUUCGGCGGGGAGGCGUUACAGGCAGAAGAAGCACCGGCUAACUCCGUGCCAGCAGCCGCGGUAAUUC
rnacentral:rRNA from 1 species